GAUGAACGCUAGCGGCAGGCUUAACACAUGCAAGUCGAGGGGCAGCAUAACUACUUGUAGUUGAUGGCGACCGGCGCACGGGUGCGUAACGCGUAUAGAAUCUGCCUUGUACAGAGGGAUAGCCUUUAGAAAUGAAGAUUAAUACCUCAUAAUGUGUUCUUAUGGCAUCGUAGGAAUAUUAAAGAUUUAUCGGUACAAGAUGACUAUGCGUCCUAUUAGCUAGAUGGUAAGGUAACGGCUUACCAUGGCUACGAUAGGUAGGGGGUCUGAGAGGAUUAUCCCCCACACUGGUACUGAGACACGGACCAGACUCCUACGGGAGGCAGCAGUGAGGAAUAUUGGUCAAUGGAGGCAACUCUGAACCAGCCAUGCCGCGUGAAGGAUGACGGCCCUAUGGGUUGUAAACUUCUUUUAUAUGGGAAGAAACGGUUUUACGUGUAAAGCUUUGACGGUACCAUACGAAUAAGGACCGGCUAACUCCG
rnacentral:rRNA from 1 species